ACUGUAGAAAGGAAGAAUUUGCAAAAUGAUGAAAUGAACAAUCAAAGAAACAAUAGAUUUCUCAGACAAAUGACUGUAUUUCAAAGCAGGAACUUGAUUGAUACUUUCAUAUUAUUUUAAGAUAAAUUUGUAACAAAGGAUAAUUUUUUUUAUUGUUGAUGUGUUGUAUUAGGGCUUGGGAGCCCUACUACUCUUUUUAAAAGGAUUAAGGAGAGGAGGAAGGUAACCUGGGCAGAGUUCCCUUUAUAGUAUAAAACACUCUCCCAUGGCAAAUGUUUUUGCUCUUCUGAAAUUUAAUCGUUUGAAUGUCUGGCAGGCUCUGUUCAACCAGCAGAGGAAUCCUUCUGACUGGACAUGUUCAGAGGUGUACAAGAAAGACUGAAGACCUUCUAAGAUGUCAGGCUUUUUCUCUGGUUAGAAAAUCUCCUUGCAUAACAGAGGACUUUCCAUGGCUGCAUAAUGAAACAUUGUGCUUAAUAUGCAUCUGUUAACAAUAUGACUUUGUUGAAUAACAUUACUAUAAGAAAGAUGUCAUUAUUGCUUUGAGGUUUGUUGGUUUCUCCAAGAAUUGUGUUUAAGAAAAUCUUUGAACUGAAAAUAAUGGCAUGCUUCUGAGAAGAAAGAAUGACUAAGGAAUCAUCAGUGUACUGAUUACAAGCUGUUUGGCAUUUAGAGAACUACAGGAAACAAACAAAACGAAACCAUAUAGUUAGAGGCCUCAUGUACAUGGACAUUAUCGUCUAGUUUUGAAUGUCCAAUACUUUUCCGUCAAGUGAGUCUACCAAAAGAAAAGAUCUGGCUGUAGCCACUUAAAUGUACUAUGGAAAAGUUAUUGUUGGGUGAUAAUGGUGCUUAGGUAUUUUCAGCUGGAGGAUACCCAAGUGUGGUGGCUCUCCAUCAACUUUUGACAUCAACAUCAAAUACUUUAUUUUUUGAAAAACUUUUUCACUGCAUUUUACACGCCAUUUAUCAGGACAUACCAUUUGUAGCUCUAAUUCAUCACUGUUAUGUAUUGACAAACACAUAAAAGUAAAAGCAGGCAUGCAGUGACAAUGGAGAUUUCUAAAGCAAGGUGUUGUUAGUCAGCUCUAAAGCACUUUUGCAGUGUGGAAUGUGGUUUUCCCCUCUGCAAACUGCCUCCUUGCCCAUAGCUGUUAGAUUUAGAUGUUAAGGAGGAAACCCUAAGUCAUUUUUAUUGACAAAUACCAGAAAGUACUUGGGAGAAUUAAGAGAUGGUGAUAUUUAUCCUUGCAGUGUGGUAAAACUACACAUGGGAAACUGUUCUGUUAAACGUUAUUGCACUGUAUAUAUAUAUAUAUAUUGCAUUAUAAAUGCUUUUGAGCUGAAAGAUGCUCAGAAUCACCUGCUCUGGGCUUCACAGACAAUGCUACCACUGCCCUGCUGAGGGUGUCACCUUUUCCUGUAUAUGGACAGAUAGACCUCUGUGCAGCUCUGAGCUUCCACAGUGGAAGGUAUUUGCUAGAAAAGCUGUAUCUUUUUGUUGUUGUUUCAUCUUUACUGUACGUUAAAGAACAGUUUUUUUUUUCUUUUGAAAAGUUGCCACUUAUCAGAAAUCAAGAUGACUGGUUCUUUGCUGCUAGCCAGAAAUGCAGACCUGACAAGGACAAAGUGCACAGAAAGGCUUGUUUACAAAUCACUUAUUGCUAUUCUGUCUUGCUCUGGGUUUUCUCUUCUUGUAAAAGUGGAGCGUUCUUAUGAAGCCCAGUCUUAUGCAGUGCUUAUGAUACUCAAAGGAGAAAAGUGAGCAUGUUUAUAUAAAAACUUUGGCUCUGGGUCUCAUCAUGACUUCAUAAUAAAUGUAAACUUCUUUGUAGCAAUUGCUUUUUUAUUUGUACACUCCAGAGUACAACUUGAAAAAUGUCUGAUUUCAUGAAGAAAUACAGAGCAUUGUGAAACUUAAUGCUGAGUUCCUCAGAUUUCCUCUGUUUGGGCUUCCCUCGUGAUCUUCAAACAUUUUUUUUAAGAACAUUACAAAGAUCACUUCAUACACACCCUUCCACUGGUGCCGUCUUGUUUUGGAACUUUUAUGAAAGGAAAUUAUUGUCUGAGCAUUGGUAUUUGGGUAUGUGCCAACAACAUUUUUUUUCUCAAAGGAAGACCAUUUUCAAGCAUAAAAAUGGGAUGUGUUUAAAAUCAAAAUCAACACCAGUGGGACACAGUUGCAGCUUGUGAUGAACUAUCUACAUGUCCAAGGAAGGAAACAGCAUGGGGGUGUUAUUUCUGUGCCCAGUGUGUGCACGCGGCAGACCUGGCAUCAUUAGAGUGGUGUAUGUUCCCCAUUCUGAUGCUGACCUGUCUGUUCUACAGCAAAACAGCACUGGGAACUGCACGGCCUUUAAAAAUCUGUAGAUCUGCUCCAAGCAGCUUCCUGUCACAUUUUUAACAAGUAUGAGACCCCCAGUGGGUUCAACUGCUCUGAGUGUCAGCCAGGGCUGAGCAGACUUCUCUGCAGUCAUUGCGGUGUACUUCACUGCUGCGUUAGUGGGAGGAAUCGUAGGAUCUCCAAGUGAGACACUCCAUUGAGUGUCCAAACGCUCACUGAACUCCAUCAGCCUGGGGCUGUGCCCAGUGCCCUGGGCAGCCUGUUCCAUGCCCACCACGCUCUGGUGAAGAACCUGUCCUUAAUUCCCAGCCUGACUCUCCCAAUGGAGCUCCAUGCCAUUCCCUCCGGCCCUGUCACUGAUACCUGAGAGCAGAGCUUAGUACUGCCCUCUGCUCCCUGUGAGGAGCUGCAGCUGCCAUGCGGCCUAGUUUGGGCCCUGUGGUCCUGCAAACCACUUUGCAUGUUCAGCUGCCAUAAUUUACAGUGAAUGUGAUCUGAUGGUGAUCAGUGUUUGUGGUGGGAUCUUGGUCCACCAGAGUGAGAGGAGGAAAAGUCUAUGCAACAGAUUUCGCUCAAGAUCUGAAGGAUCCUAGAUUACUACCGUGAGGAUCACUUCCGAAAGUACUUAAGUGUUUGAAGUUUUACUUUUUUUUUUUAAUUAUUCUCUGGCAUUGCAAUUGAGUACCAGGCACUGUGGGGGGAGAUGAACUGUGCAAUGCAAGCAGGUGCUGAGGGGGGAUUCCUGUGCCCUGGGCCUGUGCUGGCGGAGGCGGGAAAGCGACUGUGCUUCCCUCUGUGUGGUGAUACCUGCAGCGUGGAUUGUCUCACUGAACUUAGGUGUUUUGGAACUGGGCUUCUAGUAUGGACAUGGACAGCGGAGAGCGUCACCCACUGUGUGCAGCUGAAGGAUGAUGACUUGGGAAAAGGUAAAUUAAGUGAUCCCAUAUUGUGCAAUGUGGUUAUACACAUGCAUGAAGUGACAGCCAGGCUGAAAGGUGCCUCCAUUGGGAUAAAAAUCGAAAUGGGCCACAGGCUGUUUGAUGCCAACACUGAG